rnacentral:rRNA from 1 species
UGGGGAAUAUUGCACAAUGGGCGCAAGCCUGAUGCAGCCAUGCCGCGUGUAUGAAGAAGGCCUUCGGGUUGUAAAGUACUUUCAGCGGGGAGGAAGGUGUUGAGGUUAAUAACCUCAGCAAUUGACGUUACCCGCAGAAGAAGCACCGGCUAACUCCGUGCCAGCAGCCGCGGUAAUACGGAGGGUGCAAGCGUUAAUCGGAAUUACUGGGCGUAAAGCGCACGCAGGCGGUCUGUCAAGUCGGAUGUGAAAUCCCCGGGCUCAACCUGGGAACUGCAUUCGAAACUGGCAGGCUAGAGUCUUGUAGAGGGGGGUAGAAUUCCAGGUGUAGCGGUGAAAUGCGUAGAGAUCUGGAGGAAUACCGGUGGCGAAGGCGGCCCCCUGGACAAAGACUGACGCUCCGGUGCGAAAGCGUGGGGAGCAAACA